GGGAUUGUGGCUUGGUGGUAGAGUGCUUGCCUAGCGUGCACAAGGUCCUGGGUUCAAUCCCCAGCAAUGCAU
rnacentral:tRNA from 1 species